rnacentral:tRNA from 1 species
GCGCUGGUGGCUCAAUUGGAUAGAGCACCUGACUACGGAUCAGGAGGUUACAGGUUCGAAUCCUGUUCAGCGCA